rnacentral:miRNA from 1 species
UCACAAAUCACAAGAGAUCUUAUUAAAAUACAGAGUCUGAUUCAGACCUGGGGAAGGGCCUAAAAUUCUGAACUCCAAAAAGCACCCAGGUGAUACAGUA